rnacentral:tRNA from 1 species
GGCCGUUGGGGCGGUUCUGCCAGGUGUCUUUCGGAAAUACCGAUACCACGUCGAUGUCGGCGGUGCCGGCUCCGUCGAUGACCAC